UGGGGAAUAUUGGACAAUGGGCGAAAGCCUGAUCCAGCCAUGCCGCGUGUGUGAAGAAGGUCUUCGGAUUGUAAAGCACUUUAAGUUGGGAGGAAGGGCAGUAAGCGAAUACCUUGCUGUUUUGACGUUACCGACAGAAUAAGCACCGGCUAACUCUGUGCCAGCAGCCGCGGUAAUACAGAGGGUGCAAGCGUUAAUCGGAAUUACUGGGCGUAAAGCGCGCGUAGGUGGUUCGUUAAGUUGAAUGUGAAAGCCCCGGGCUCAACCUGGGAACUGCAGCCAAAAAGGGCGAGCUAGAGUAGGGCAGAGGGUGGGGGAAUUUCCUGUGUAGCGGUGAAAUGCGUAGAUAUAGGAAGGAACACCAGUGGCGAAGGCGACCACCUGGGCUCAUACUGACACUGAGGUGCGAAAGCGUGGGGAGCAAACAGG
rnacentral:rRNA from 1 species